rnacentral:rRNA from 1 species
UUUAACGGCCGCGGUAUUCUGACCGUGCAAAGGUAGCGUAAUCAUUUGUCUUUUAAAUAAAGACCUGUAUGAAUGGCAUCACGAGGGCUCGACUGUCUCCUAUCCCUAAUCAGUGAAAUUGAUCUGUCCGUGCAGAAGCGGGCAUAAAGACAUAAGACGAGAAGACCCUAUGGAGCUUAAGAUAUAAGAUCACACGUACUUAAUAGCUAAUGCCCGACAGGAGUAAAAGCUAGUUUAUAAUGCGUUGGUUGAUUGGAUUGUCUUCGGUUGGGGCGACCGCGGAGGAGAAAAAAGCCUCCAUGUGGAGUGGGGUAAUAUUCCCUAAAGCUGAGAGCUACAGCUCUAAGAAGCAGAAUAUCUGACCAGAAAUGAUCCAGGCCAAGGCCUGAUCAACGAACCAAGUUACCCUAGGGAUAACAGCGCAAUCCUUUCUCAGAGUUCAUAUCGACGAAAGGGUUUACGACCUC